rnacentral:rRNA from 1 species
CCUACGGGUGGCAGCAGUGAGGAAUAUUGGUCAAUGGACGAGAGUCUGAACCAGCCAAGUAGCGUGAAGGAUGACUGCCCUAUGGGUUGUAAACUUCUUUUAUAUGGGAAUAAAAUGUUCCACGUGUGGGAUUUUGUAUGUACCAUAUGAAUAAGGAUCGGCUAACUCCGUGCCAGCAGCCGCGGUAAUACGGAGGAUCCGAGCGUUAUCCGGAUUUAUUGGGUUGAAAGGGAGCGUAGGUGGAUUGUUAAGUCAGUUGUGAAAGUUUGCGGCUCAACCGUAAAAUUGCAGUUGAGACUGGCAGUCUUGAGUACAGUAGAGGUGGGCGGAAUGCGUGGUGUAGCGGUGAAAUGCUUAGAUAUCACGAAGAACUCCGAUUGCGAAGGCAGUUCACUGGACUGCAACUGACACUGAGGCUCGAAAGUGUGGGUAUCAAACAGGAUUAGAUACCCGGGUAGUC